rnacentral:rRNA from 1 species
GAUGAACGCUGGCGGCGUGCCUAAUACAUGCAAGUCGAGCGAAUGGAUUAAGAGCUUGCUCUUAUGAAGUUAGCGGCGGACGGGUGAGUAACACGUGGGUAACCUGCCCAUAAGACUGGGAUAACUCCGGGAAACCGGGGCUAAUACUGGAUAACAUUUUGAGCCGCAUGGUUCGAAAUUGAAAGGCGGCUUCGGCUGUCACUUAUGGAUGGACCCGCGUCGCAUUAGCUAGUUGGUGAGGUAACGGCUCACCAAGGCAACGAUGCGUAGCCGCCCUGAGAGGGUGAUCGGCCACACUGGGACUGAGACACGGCCCAGACUCCUACGGGAGGCAGCAGUAGGGAAUCUUCCGCAAUGGACGAAAGUCUGACGGAGCCACGCCGCGUGAGUGAUGAAGGCUUUCGGGUCAUAAAACUCUGUUGUUAGGGAAGAACAAGUGCUAGUUGAAUAAGCUGGCACCUUGACGGUACCUAACCAGAAAGCCACGGCUAACUACGUGCCAGCAGCCGCCGUAA